GGGUGCAUCUGCGCCUGGGAUAUCGCAUAAAUGAAUAAACUGACUAAUCCAAUUACAUCGGAAGUUGAAGCAGUAAUCGAUUCUGAUACUGUAAUAAAGGAAAAUCAAAUUUAAAUGAUCGAUUCUGUGGAUAUUUAUGGUGUCAUUAUUCUAAAUCAAGUAAUACUUAUAUAGCGAGAAUUUGAACUGUUUGAAUACAUUAAACGUUGAUUCUGGGCUAAUAUACCAGUUCAUCGAUCUAUAUGAGCUUCUGAAAAUGUUAUGCUACUUACUAGGGUUACUGUAUCAUCAUUCCAUAAUGAAAAUUUAGCAUUUUAGCACAACCAGCAAUAGCGUCUAACGUUUACAUUCGUUGUUUAGUACGAAGUCAAAUUUCAAGAAGAUUAAACAUGAAAGUUAAUUUUGUGAUCUUUAUGCUGAUUUUUGGAACGGCUGCAGUUGCAAAGUAGAUGUAGAAGCACUCAUUUCUCGUUCGGAACAAAACGUAGGUCCGAAAUUGCCAAGCAUCGAACACGAUGCGGAUAUUAUUGUCAGUGCUGUGGAAAAUAAGAGACAAGAGCGUAAGGCAUUUGAAGAUGAUCAAAAGGAUUGGAGAGAAACAUUCAAUGCUGAAAAAGAGGACAGUUUCCAGGAUGAACCAGAAAGAGACGAUGAACCAGAAGGAGACGAUGAAACAGAAGGAGACGAUGAAACAGAAGGAGACGACGAAACUGAAGGAGACGAUGAUGCAGAAGGAUACGAUGCUGGAGAAGGAUACGAUGGGACCGAAGGAGACAAUGAUGCAAAAGGACACGAUUAUGCAGAAGAAACAAUGGAUGAUUUUAUUUUUGAGACAGGUGUUCUUUUGAAAAUUUUGAUUGUUGUUGUUACCUUGGUCCUUGUAUUUCAAAUAAGUUACUGUAUAUAUUGUCUUUUAAGGACCCCUUUGUUCAGAUUAUCCUAAAUAAAUUUUUGAAUU